rnacentral:rRNA from 1 species
AUUGAACGCUGGCGGCAGGCCUAACACAUGCAAGUCGAGCGAGUGGCGGACGGGUGAGUAAUGUCUGGGAAACUGCCUGAUAGAGGGGGAUAACUACUGGAAACGGUAGCUAAUACCGCAUACCAUCGGAUGUGCCCAUAUGGGAUUAGCUAGUAGGUGGGGUAAAGGCUCACCUAGGCGACGAUCCCUAGCUGGUCUGAGAGGAUGAUCAGCCACACUGGAACGGAGACACGGUCCAGACUCCUACGGGAGGCAGCAGUGGGGAAUAUUGCACAAUGGGCGCAAGCCUGAUGCAGCCAUGCCGCGUGUAUGAAGAAGGCAUUAGGGUUGUAAAGUACUUUCAGCGGGGAGGCGUUACCCGGAGAAGAAGCACCGGCUAACUCCGUGCCAGCAGCCGCGGUAAUUC